GGAAAUAAGUAUAUUUCAUUUAUUGGGUUUCCCUCAAAUCCCAACAGAGAAGUAGAUCAAGGAUGCAGGAUGAUCGAUGUGAGAUGUCACUCAACCACACUGGGAUCUUUUUGUUGGCUUCACCACCCACUAAACCCUUAGCUAUUGAGGGGACUAAAGCUCCACUUCUCUUGCCUGUGAGGCUGCAGGUCAGGUCCAUAGACAGGGUGUGGUCACCAAGGCGAGGUCAUAAAGGCCGGGGUGUCCCACUGUCUUGUCAUGCAGCUUCUUGUCACACUUCCACAGAUGUCAUUUGACCUUCAGACUCACAGUGAUCCUCCUGUUGCAGUCUCUUGAGUGCUGAGAUUAUAGCUACACACUACUACACCUGGCCCAGUACAACAUUUAAAAGGGUUAUUGGAUGAAGAAUCAAGUCAGCACCAAAGGCAUGGUUUUAAGGAAAGGGGGCUUAUGGGGAGGAUGCCAGUUAAGAAGGAGGAGCCCUAAGUCAUGGAGAACUGUCCCAGGCUUUCAAAUGGGAUCAAGCAAACAUCCACAUUUUUUUUUCUGGCUGGAUUUCAAAAUUGUUCUGGGCCAGUGACUCCUCCAGGCCUUGUGUCUCCCUUCUGAGCAGGAAUGUCUGUAGUUGUGACUCAGUACCAUCCUAUGUUAAGAUGUGAAGAAGGGUCCCAGAUAUACUUGGUUCCACUUUGAAAAUUGCCAAAUCUAAAUGGUCAGCAUUCUGGAGUCUCUACAUAAGGUAUGUGUACUGUAGCCUCAUGCACACCAGACCAGAUUCACAUGGGGAUGCCAUCAUGGGCUGGGAUUUUGGGAACAAGUGACUGUUUUGCACGUGGAAGAGACAGGAAUCAGCAGGGACCAGAGAGCAGCCUGUGGUCUACAGCUUCAAAAGUGACUCAGGGUGACCUCUCCACACUCCAUCCUUGCUCUGGUACCAUCCUUUCCCCUUGUGUGUGGUUUGGAUCACGAGACUUGCCUCUAAUGACUUGAAUACAGCAAAAGUAGGGGGAUGUCACUUCUGAUAGCAGGUUAUAUAGAAAAGACCAUGACUUCUGUCAUCCUCUCUUUGGCUUGCUCUGAUGAGCAGAGCAGCCUGUCAGAGCUGCCCUGUGGAAGGGAGCUGAGAUGGUCUCCCCUCAACAGCAACCCGGAGCUGCAGCCUGCACACCAGAGAGGCUCCAAUGGGAGUCCUGCCAGACAGCCUGAUCUACCUUAGCGGGAAUCUAAAGCCUGGGUAUCCUACAUAGCCACAUCCAGGCAACAGGAGAGAAUAAACAUUAUUCCAAACUGA